rnacentral:lncRNA from 1 species
GUGCUAGUGAAACUGCCCUCAGAGCAGAAAUAAACUGUUGGCUCUCAAGUUUUUCCAGACUAACCGGACUGGCCAAUGCCUGAGGCUCUGUGUUCAAGAUAAAAGUGCCUAAGAAAGAAAAGUGCAGGAGAAAGAAUUGUGCCAUGAAAAAUGGAAAACUCCUGAGAAGCUGUUCCAGCGUCAGGAGAGCAGCAGACAAGCUGGACUGGGGAAGAUUCUUCCUGCAAGACCUGCAGAGUGUAUGACACAUAACCAGCACCCAAGAAAUGUCUACCGAGGAAUUAAUGAAUGAGCCAUCUUGUGAUCAUCUGGCAAGACAGCCCAAGAAUAAAGCCGUCACCAUGGAGACUAAGAAGAGACAGAAAGACACUGGGUCUUCAUUGUCUCGUCCAGCUGUUCAUGAGGCCUUAUCUGAAGCCCACGUGACCUCCGGACUACUCACUUACAUGAGAGAAUAAAGCUCUUUUUUGUUUAGACCAAAUAAAUACAUAAUACAAUUACAUAAUCCCUUGAUUCCUUUUUAUGACUGAGCUCAGAGACUAUAUUUUGUCAUUUUAAAUCACCUUUGUCUUACAGUUUAUUUAACUGAAACAAAUAAACAAACCAAAACACGCCA